rnacentral:rRNA from 1 species
GACGAGGGGUCCUAGCGUUGUUCGGAAUCAUUGGGCGUAAAGCGUGUGUAGGCGGCUAUUCAAGUCAGUUGUGAAAGCCCCGGGCUCAACCCGGGAAGUGCUUCUGAUACUGUUUAGCUUGAGUACUGGAGAGGAUAGUAGAAUUCCAGGUGUAGUGGUGAAAUACGUAGAUAUCUGGAAGAAUACCGGUGGCGAAGGCGGCUAUCUGGCCAUGUACUGACGCUGAGACACGAAAGCGUGGGGAGCAAACAGG